rnacentral:rRNA from 1 species
AUACGGAGGGUGCAAGCGUUACUCGGAAUCACUGGGCGUAAAGGACGCGUAGGCGGGUUGUCAAGUCAGAUGUGAAAUCCUACAGCUUAACUGUAGAACUGCAUUUGAAACUGGCAACCUAGAGUAUGGGAGGGGGAGAUGGAAUUAGUGGUGUAGGUGUAAAAUCCGUAGAUAUCACUAGGAAUACCGAAAGCGAAGGCGAUCUCCUGGAACAUAACUGACGCUAAGGCGUGAAAGCGUGGGGAGCAAACGGGAUUAGAAACCCUAGUAGUCC